rnacentral:misc_RNA from 1 species
AUGUGGGAGGGGCUUGCUCCCGAUAGCGGUGUGUCAGUUGAAAAUAUAUCCACUGAUACUCCGCUAUCGGGAGCAAGCCCCUCCCACAU